UACUGCGGAAGGAUCAUUA
rnacentral:rRNA from 2 species